rnacentral:rRNA from 1 species
CCUACGGGAGGCAGCAGUGGGGAAUUUUGGACAAUGGGGGAAACCCUGAUCCAGCCAUGCCGCGUGAGUGAAGAAGGCCUUCGGGUUGUAAAGCUCUUUCGGCUGGGAAGAAAUCGCACAGGCUAAUACUCUGUGUGGAUGACGGUACCAGCACAAGAAGCACCGGCUAACUACGUGCCAGCAGCCGCGGUAAUACGUAGGGUGCGAGCGUUAAUCGGAAUUACUGGGCGUAAAGCGUGCGCAGGCGGUUGUGCAAGACAGAUGUGAAAUCCCCGGGCUCAACCUGGGAACUGCAUUUGUGACUGCACGACUAGAGUACGGCAGAGGGGGGUAGAAUUCCACGUGUAGCAGUGAAAUGCGUAGAGAUGUGGAGGAAUACCGAUGGCGAAGGCAGCCCCCUGGGCCGAUACUGACGCUCAUGCACGAAAGCGUGGGGAGCAAACAGGAUUAGAUACCCUGGUAGUCCACGCCCUAAACGAUGUCAACUAGUUGUUGGUAGGGUUAAACCUAUUAGUAACGUAGCUAACGCGUGAAGUUGACCGCCUGGGGAGUACGGUCGCAAGAUUAAAACUCAAAGGAAUUGACGG